UACGUAGGAUGCAAGCGUUGUCCGGAAUUAUUGGGCGUAAAGAGCGCGCAGGCGGUAUGACAAGUCAGAUGUGAAAGAGGCCGGCUUAACCGGCAAGGGUCAUUGAAACUGUCAGACUAGAGUGCAGCAGAGGAUAGUGGAAUUCCCGGUGUAGUGGUGAAAUGCGUAGAUAGUCGGAAGGAACACCUGUGGCGAAAGCGGCUCACUGGACCAUUACUGACGCUGAUGCACGAAAGCUAGGGGAGCAAACAGG
rnacentral:rRNA from 1 species